UGGGGAAUAUUGCACAAUGGGCGCAAGCCUGAUGCAGCCAUGCCGCGUGUAUGAAGAAGGCCUUCGGGUUGUAAAGUACUUUCAGCGAGGAGGAAGGCGUUGUGGUUAAUAACCGCAGCGAUUGACGUUACUCGCAGAAGAAGCACCGGCUAACUCCGUGCCAGCAGCCGCGGUAAUACGGAGGGUGCAAGCGUUAAUCGGAAUUACUGGGCGUAAAGCGCACGCAGGCGGUCUGUCAAGUCGGAUGUGAAAUCCCCGGGCUCAACCUGGGAACUGCAUCCGAAACUGGCAGGCUAGAGUCUUGUAGAGGGGGGUAGAAUUCCAGGUGUAGCGGUGAAAUGCGUAGAGAUCUGGAGGAAUACCGGUGGCGAGGGCGGCCCCCUGGACAAAGACUGACGCUCAGGUGCGAAAGCGUGGGGAGCAAACA
rnacentral:rRNA from 1 species